UGGGGAAUUUUGGACAAUGGGCGAAAGCCUGAUCCAGCAAUGCCGCGUGUGUGAAGAAGGCCUUCGGGUUGUAAAGCACUUUUGUCCGGAAAGAAAUCCUCUGGGUUAAUACCUCGGGGGGAUGACGGUACCGGAAGAAUAAGCACCGGCUAACUACGUGCCAGCAGCCGCGGUAAUACGUAGGGGUGCAAGCGUUAAUCGGAAUUACUGGGCGUAAAGCGUGCGCAGGCGGUUUUGUAAGACGGAUGUGAAAUCCCCGGGCUUAACCUGGGAACUGCAUUCGUGACUGCAAGGCUAGAGUAUGGCAGAGGGGGUAGAAUUCCACGUGUGAGCAGUGAAAUGCGUAGAGAUGGUGGAGGAAUACCGAUGGCGAAGGCAGCCCCUGGGCAAUACUGACGCUCAUGCACGAAAGCGU
rnacentral:rRNA from 1 species